AAUUGCCAUCGAGAAGGCUACUAAGGCUGCCGAGGGAUAGACAGCUGUUGCCGAGGCCUUUACUCAAGAUGUUGCUGCUUGAAUGAUCGUUGACUUUAAGAAUUCUCAAGAUUUUGCAGAAGAAGUCGCAAAGGGAUCAGCAGAAGCUUACCAACUUGGCUUCAAGGAUUGCAAGACCCAAGUUGUUCAAUUGUAUCCUUAAGUCAACUUGAGCAAACUUGGAGUUGUAGACGAAGUUGAAGAGGAACUUGGGAUAGCCUUAGAGCAACCGCAGGCAGAGCCCAAGGCCUUCAAAGAUGCCGCAGAACCCCCAGCUGUCCCUUGUCCCAAGGUGUUCGUCGAUGCUUCUAUUGAGGUUUAAUCUUUUUAUUACUUUUUUAGACUUUAUAAUGAAAAGAACUUGUAAUGAAACCUUUCUUAACGAAAAGCUUACUUUUUGGUUGAAAUAUUGUUUCUUCAAUUUUCUUUAUUGCUCACUUUCUGUUCCACGCA
rnacentral:lncRNA from 1 species